UGUCAUCCCAGAUUAGCCUGUGCAGACUGCACAUACAUUAAGUCCUAUUAAAGUGUCAUCCCAGAUUAGCCUGUGCAUACUGCACAUACAUUAAGACCUAUUAAAGUGUCAUCCAAGAUUAGCCUGUGCAUACUGCACAUACAUUAAUUCCUAUUAAAGUGUCAUCCCAGAUUAGCCUGUGCAGACUACACAUACAUUAAGCCCUAUUUUCUUAGAAUGAGGCUCAUAUACUACACUUAACAUCAGUAUUUUAUGUGACUGAAAAGUUCCUAGCAUCAAAUGGGAAUUAUGUGCUUUUAAAUUGAUCACACUUAGUAAAUAAAAUGCCAAUAGCACUUGAUCUGAUAUCAAUUUUAAUCAUAGAAGGUCAGGGCAUUAAGUUUUGUAUAUUUUCGACCGAAAUUUAGCCUCUGAACCAAAAGUUUAUCCUUUCAUAAAAAUCUGCUUUAAUAGAAUCGUCAAAUUAUAUUUAAUUUUAGUAAAAUAAUUAUGUAAAAGCCUUCAGCUCAUUUUAAAAUUAUUUUCUUCAUUUAUUUUCAAUAUUUAUUUAAAUUCUUGGAUUUUGUUUUAAGAGCCUGUUUCUACAGGAACCCAUGCAAUCAUAGAUCAGUACCUAGCUGAACAACCGGAUGUCCGGUCAGCUGGGCCCAGACGCCCAGUGACACUUCCUGGCCCAGGACCUUGGGGCAAAUGCUCAACUAGUCCUACCUGCAGGGUGGAGCCACUCUGAACCUGGGGCUCCAUACUUUCUUGGUCAGGGGCCAAGAUUACCUCGUCAAUGAGGGCCACAUUCCUGGGAUGCCCUAAGGUCUUUCUAUCUGUUCACAGAGGUCUUCUACUCACAAGUUCAAGCCCAGUGAGCGAUGUUCACAUUAUCAAAAUCUGCAUCUCUAUAGAAACCAGGAUAGCAAAGCGUUGGUUUGUUUUUGAAGCAUUUGAACCAGCAACAGUCAUCAUUCGAGUUUCUGACAUGCCAAUGGUGCGGAACCCCUCAAUCUAUGAACAUCAUAACAGCACAUGAACCAGCAGCAGUCAUCAUCUCAAGAUUCUGGUAUAUCCAUGGUACAGGACCCUUAGUCUGUACAAAUCUUGCAGAACGAACUUCAGACACCCAUUGACAAAAGAAAACUGGCCAAUCAGAAACGCAGCCUGUUGCAGCAGUUGUUAACAUAUUGACCCCAUUCAAACCUAAGAAGCUCAGAGUUAAAUACUGUUUAGAUGUGCUAGUCUAUACAUACCUCCUGGUUUGUUCAACACUUACUCUGAAUCUUUGAAUGUUAUGACGGGUGGAAAUAAAUGACCUUGUUCAGAUCGAAAUGGCAGAAUGACACAUCACAAGAAUUCAAGCGGAAAGCCACAAAGUCAUGUCAACAGCCACAUCUUUAUGUGACCAGCCAAGUUGUAGGUCAUGUAACCCCAAACCGGAACUCCUGUUUUCAGGGUUACAUGCAGUCAGUUUGAUACUAAGCACACAUUGUUCAGUGCAUGCUGCCUAGGAUUUGUCAAAAACAUUGCAAAUGGUUGAUGUUGGUAUCAACUUGAAGGUAUAUUUGUAAGCAAUAAGAAAAAAAGCCAUUUUUGUGCUCUACUUUUUGUGUUGAUGGUUCCCGGCUUUGAAAGUAGGUCAUACUAUUUGAGCCCAAAAUGGUCGUCUGCACAGCUGUCAAAAUCGGUAUGCCUAUUCUAAGGUAAAUAUUUUGAGUUAACGCGUAUAGAAUUUAAUGACAUGCAUUUGUUUUUAAAGAUUAUGCAUUUAUCUUUCCAAUGAUGUAUGAUGAUAUAGUGGGUAUGCGCUUGAUCAUGGUAAAAAUUGAUAUCGAACUACAACUAUUUUAUAUGUAAUAUAUAAGGAAAUUAAUUGCGCAUGCGUAACCUGUAUUAAAAAACACAAUAGCUUACGUUUUAUGUUAUAUGUGACCAACCAAGUUAUAUUCAUACAAAAUAAUAGUUUAUGUUUUAUGGGAAUUUUUAUGCUGUCAGUCUUUAUGUUGAAAUAUUGUGUUCAAUAUAGCAUGUUAAGUAUUUUAAAAGCAUGCAUAUUGCACGUAUAUGCAAUCUCUUUGUCUAUAUUAUAAUAUCACUACAUAUUUUGAUCCUGAUAAUGGUAAAUUAAUGGGAAAUACACUUUUAUCAAAGACUUUCAAAGCAUGAAAAUUAAGCUGUUUAAAUGAGGCUGGUAACUUGGAAAACAUUAAAAAAUAUUGGAGUAUUUUCAUGUUAUUAAACAUGUUUCAGUUUUCUGUUUAUUUACCUGUUUUAUAUAUAAGCUAGAUAAAAGUAGUGUUAAGAAAGGUUUAGAAGUUUUACACUUCAGAUUUUUCUGUUUAUCAAUCUUUCUAAAAACAAUACUAGUAAAUCUGCUCAUUCGGGUCGGUAUUUGAACAAGAAUCUUGUUUAAUAGCAUUCAUGGGAAUCUAAAUAAAUUAUGUGCAAUAUUAUGUAAUCUACCUAAAAGUAUCGAUUCUGUAUUUACUACCAGUACUUUGUUGAUUUCAAUGCAUAUUGUUUGUUAAAUAUUCGAAAUGGCUCUUGGAUUUGGGGGAAAACUUAAAGGAAAACUAAAAAUUAAAAAAUUAUUUUUUUUAGAGUUUUAUGAAAAAUGGCAAAAGUUAUAAAUGUUAAUUUGUGUUGUUAGAUCAAAGACUUAGAUGCUCAUAAGUGUUUAAAUUUAUUUUCGGACAUAAUAGUUUAUAAUGCUUUAUAUUUGUAUAUGCAUAUGAAGACGACCAGAAUGUAUCCUCUUUAAUCACUGAGUAUCUUAAUCAAUAUCUCUUGAUCACUGCAUACAUUGUAGAGGUAUAUUUUGAUAUUUAUACACAGAGCAACUGUGAAACAAUAGUAUUUUAAAUGUACAUUAUUUUGUUAGUGUGGCAAUUUUUAUAAGAUAAACUCACUGUUUACAUUAAUUUGUGCAAACUAUAGUCAUAAAAAUAUUGAUUGUGUGAAUCCACAUAUUUGUAUUAAACUGUUAAAAUAAUGUACAGUAACAGAUUCUGAAGAGAAAACUGUACUCAAUGCAAUAUAAACCCCUUGUUAUAUUAACUGCUUUAUAUUAAGAACAGCUAAUUAAAAUAAGUUUAAUUUUGUUUUACAUUAUCUAAAGAAAAUUUAGUACAUUUUUAUUUGAAAUCAGUCAUUUACAUAUUAAGGAAGAGUGUUGUCAUAUGCUAACAAUUGUCAAAAAAUGCGAUUGUCUCUAUUGGUAAAGUAGAGAGCAAUAUUAUUUGCUUAAACAAAAAAAAGCAAAGAUGUCUGCUUUGAAAGUGUAUGUGAAAUAAACACUUAUGUUUGUUCUUAUAUUAAACGUGAACGUAUUGAUGUAUAGCUGAUAAUAAAGUUUGACAUUUUAUUAGUUUUGUAACAAUGUGUUUUUUACCCUUUACGUUAACAUUCCCACAAUUGAUGUCAGUGCAGUGCCUUCAAUGGAGCCAUUUUCUGUAAAUCUCCCACUGUUAAAGUUCAGCAAAAGUUUUAAGACCAGAUUUCCUUAAACUUAGGGUUGUUUAUAUUUAACAUUUAUUGAAUGCAUGAAACAUGUUUGUUCUGUUGUUGAAUAGCUGAACAUUGAUGUAUGUAAAUUGUGUGACAUGUUGAUCAAAUUGAUACAUAGAAACAAACACUCAUUAUGCGUUAAUUUGUACGUUAAGCUAAACAAAAAAUGUUACCAAACACAAAUAUAAGUAUUUGGUAACAAUAUACAAAAUUGUGCUAUAUUCGUAAAACCGUAUCAAAUGCAAGUUGAAAUGUAAUGUUUAAAUAUGUUUGUCGACUCCAAAUAAGCAUUUUGAAUAAGCAAAUUAAUACAUUAAUAAUCUCUAUGGAAAGUACACGUAGGCACUUUACAAUCGCUUGUGUACUUCAUAUUGAUCAGGGUCUUUCUAAAUUAUUGCAUGAUUUUUUAUGCGUAUGUCUGAAUUGUGUAAAUAUCUGUUAAAUAACUGUUAAAAAGGAUUUUAAUAUUAUAAGUUAAAAUAGUGUCUAAACUGUAACGGGACAUUUGUUGCAUUUAUUUUUACGUGUUUAUAUUUUCUGGCUUACUGUGCUUAAUUUUGUAUAUAAUCGUACGUACUUUUAUUGUGGUUUUCGUAUUUAGACAAAGCGCACUACACUUAUGCUGUUGUUUUUGUCCAUCAUUUCUAUACAAAAUGUUGUAUGUAAAUAAUUAAACAUGUUGAUGUUGGUAAUAAUGUAUUUCCUGAUCUAAUAUUGAUGAUGCACUCAAUAAAGUACAUAUCCAUUUAUGUGG